rnacentral:rRNA from 1 species
GACGAACGCUGGCGGCGUGCUUAACACAUGCAAGUCGAACGGUAAGGCCCUUCGGGGUACGACGAGUGGCGAACGGGUGAGUAACACGUGGGUGAUCUGCCCUGCACUUCGGGAUAAGCCUGGGAAACUGGGUCUAAUACCGGAUAGGACCAUGGACUUCACGGUUUGUGGUGGAAAGCUUUUGCGGUGUGGGAUGGGCCCGCGGCCUAUCAGCUUGUUGGUGGGGUAAUGGCCUACCAAGGCGACGACGGGUAGCCGGCCUGAGAGGGUGUCCGGCCACACUGGGACUGAGAUACGGCCCAGACUCCUACGGGAGGCAGCAGUGGGGAAUAUUGCACAAUGGGCGCAAGCCUGAUGCAGCGACGCCGCGUGAGGGAUGACGGCCUUCGGUUGUAACCGUACUUUCAAUAGGACGAAGACGCAAGUGACGGUACCGUAUAGAAGAAGACACCGGCCAACUACGUGCCAGCAGCCGCGGUAA